UGGGGAAUAUUGCACAAUGGGCGCAAGCCUGAUGCAGCCAUGCCGCGUGUAUGAAGAAGGCCUUCGGGUUGUAAAGUACUUUCAGUCGGGAGGAAGGUGGUAAGGUUAAUAACCUUGGCAAUUGACGUUACCGACAGAAGAAGCACCGGCUAACUCCGUGCCAGCAGCCGCGGUAAUACGGAGGGUGCAAGCGUUAAUCGGAAUUACUGGGCGUAAAGCGCACGCAGGCGGUUGAUUGAGUCAGAUGUGAAAUCCCCGGGCUUAACCCGGGAAUUGCAUCUGAUACUGGUCAGCUAGAGUCUUGUAGGGGGGGGUAGAAUUCCAUGUGUAGCGGUGAAAUGCGUAGAGAUGUGGAGGAAUACCGGUGGCGAAGGCGGCCCCCUGGACAAAGACUGACGCUCAGGUGCGAAAGCGUGGGGAGCAAACAGG
rnacentral:rRNA from 1 species